AUUGAACGCUGGCGGCAGGCCUAACACAUGCAAGUCGAGCGGAUGAAGGGAGCUUGCUUCUGGAUUCAGCGGCGGACGGGUGAGUAAUGCCUAGGAAUCUGCCUGGCAGUGGGGGAUAACGUCCGGAAACGGGCGCUAAUACCGCAUACGUCCUGAGGGAGAAAGUGGGGGAUCUUCGGACCUCACGCUAUCAGAUGAGCCUAGGUCGGAUUAGCUAGUUGGUGGGGUAAAGGCCUACCAAGGCGACGAUCCGUAACUGGUCUGAGAGGAUGAUCAGUCACACUGGAACUGAGACACGGUCCAGACUCCUACGGGAGGCAGCAGUGGGGAAUAUUGGACAAUGGGCGAAAGCCUGAUCCAGCCAUGCCGCGUGUGUGAAGAAGGUCUUCGGAUUGUAAAGCACUUUUAGUUGGGAGGAAGGGCAGUAAGUUAAUACCUUGCUGUUUUGACGGUACCAACAGAAUAAGCACCGGCUAACUUCGUG
rnacentral:rRNA from 1 species